rnacentral:ncRNA from 2 species
CGCACACCACACGGGAGCUCGUCGCAUCGAGCUGAGAGGACGCCUGACGCGGGCGUCGACCGAACGAACCUGUCCGGGUAAUGCCGGCGUAGGGAGAAGGAGUCCCGUAUGU